AAGAAAGGAUCUCGAAGUAGUCUUUCUCCAUUCCUAAAUCGAGAAAUACCGGGACUCCAUCCCUCUGCACCGUUCCAUCUACCUCGUCCCGCCUUCCUCUUCUGUCCUUCAACCGAAUCCAUGGCAGCCAUCUCUCACCCAAAUCCGGAGCCAUCUUCUAGGGCUACGGCCUCCAAUCUACUUGGGACCAGAAUGCUCGAAGUCUGAGGAAGCUGCAAUUUUGGCGAAUGCAUUUUAGGAGGCCAAUGGAGAUGGGGUGGAGCCGCGGAGGAGAGAAACUGGAUGCAUCUCACCGCCAUGGAAGUAGGGGAUGAAGCUUCUGAGGAGUCAGGGAGAAGCGGAUGGGAUGGGGAUGAACUAGACCGGAUCCCCGAACUCGAGCCCCGAAUCACGUCAGCCUCUCCAAAACCCGCCCUCUUUUAUGAUUUUCUACUAUAUGUUGCUUCAACUUUUUUUUGUGUGUGAUUUCUUUGAAUGCGAAUAAGUUUGAUGUUUUUUUCAGGCAAAAGGCCUCGACUUUUCUUAAUUUGAGUCAAUCAAUUGCGUAUGUCUGAGGUAAAUUGUAUAUAUAUAUAUAUAUAUUAGACUUGAAAAAAGAUACUAGAGAAAAUUGUUGGUUGAGAUGUUAUAUGAAGCUAAGGGUGGUGAAAUAUUCUCGGACACCAAUCCUAUGUAGUUUAGCCCUGCACACACUAUGGUAGUACCGAAAAAUAAAAGAGGGAUUAACUCAACUGUCUCGGAUAUGAAAACAUGUCUUCUCUUUGUGUUUCUCUGAAAUGCAUGAGAAAAUCAUUGCAUCCUCCUGUCUUACUUCUCCAAUAUGGAGUUGAAUAAAAUGUCCCCUUUUUGUCUCCGUCUCCAACAGUGCGCGUGCACGCGCACACACUCACACAGAGGGAGAGAGAGCAUACACAUUCUAGUUAGAAAAGAUGUCUUAGGUUACGUGCGAUGGUAUUGUGGUUGUUUGGGAAACUGUAGUGAAGGAAAUUUUUUCUAAAGAAAAGGAAAAAGGAUUGGAGAAAUUUGGAAAGCCAUUUCCAUAUUAUAUUAGUUUUCCCACCAAGCAAACAGCUGGAAAAUUUUGGCUAAAAAAAAAUCAGUUUCCUAGAGCCUUUUGUCCUAGCAACCAAGCAAACCGAGUAACAGGGUCUCCUAUAUACUUCGUAAAAAUUGAAACUUGUCUCUCUUUGUGUGUGUGUUUAAUGACUGUUUGGGGUUCCUUUUUCUCUCAUCAGCUAUUGGCAUGAAAUAAACCCAAGUAUGGAGCCCCCUGAAUGUGGAACACUACUUGAGGUCUCUACCUCCACAAGAAAUCACAUUACUAGUGUGACUCAAGGUGUUUAUUUAAUUCAUUGCCGCAAAGAAGACCUCAUAAUGCCAAUGUAAGCAGUAUUUGUUUGGCAUAUGAUAAGAUGACUAAUUAUUAGAUGCAUAUUUGUUUGUUGAACCGAUUCAGAAUAUUGAGAAAGGCAUCAAGGUUCGCUGUAUCUUGAAGUAAAUGACGCAGGAGAAAAGGCCUUUAUUGCAAUAACAUGCUAGUGGUAUGAGCCCUUAAUCCGCAUUAGGGACAGUGGUUUUUGCAUGUUAGCACAGCAAGAUAUAAAUUUUUUCUUCAUGUUGAUGAAGUGCUUCACUAUAUUGUUGAUUGCAACCUGUCUCUAGCAUUGAGACAACUCUUUUUUCCAUUAGUUAUCUGUUAAUUAUCUUGAAGCAUCGUACAUUGAAAAAGGCUCUUAUGUUUUUAUAGGUUAGAGUGGUUGAAAAAAGGCAAUUCCGCAUAGUUUUUUGCCUGCCUGUAAAAUGAAAGACAUGAUUUCUCGGAUCAACUUUGAUUGCCUCUGCAUUGGUUUCCUGCUUUCUGGCACAAGCAUACAUACCACUCUGGAUUGCGUAAUGGUUGAAGUAUUAGUACCCUUAAUUCUCACUUUUUGCAUAUCUUUAGAUCUCAUAAACUCUCAGGGAAGGCUCAUGAUUUUCCAUGAUUUAUUAUGAAAUAUUUUUGAGCAGCUGGUGAUGUAUGUUUCAUGGCAGCUGCACAUUGCUCCAAACAUUUCCUCUUAUAUUCUUGGUAAGAUCACCUCAUAUUACUUGUAAAAAUCUUCCACUCAGUGCAUGUCCACUAUUGACCUGAGAGAUAACGUGGUAUGUUUUAGAGUUGGUUGAAGCAUUUUGCUGUUUUAUUUUGCAGUAGAGCAUAAAAAUGGUCCGCUGUGAACCUGAGCAUUGAUUUGAGAGUCAACAUUGAUAAUUUUAGCAUUGAGUGUGUGAAAAGUUGGUUCAUUUUGCUUUUUCCAUUCUAUCAACUUUCUAUACAUUGUCAUCUACCAAAAAUUGUUUUUCAUGAUCCUUUCUUGCUUCUAUUUUUAUGGCUUCUGAGUAUAUCUUUUGCAGAUGCUCUUAAGCAGACCCUUGCCAUAGUGUGUACUAGUAUUUACUUUUAAAAAUAAACAGCCCCUACUGUGCUGGUUAGUGACACAAGUAUUUCAUAUCUGCUAUCUAAUUAUUUAGUACUCGACAUUAUUGCCAGCUAAAACUACUAAUUCUUGUGCUCCCUUCUUGCUUCCUCUUUGAUUCAUUUCUGAAUGCUAAGGCAAGUGCUCAUAAACGCUUUUGAUGCACCGUUUUGCCAUGUAUAAAUGAUCAUUUACUCCUAAGAAUGUAACAAACGCUGAUCCAUGUAGUCGUGAGCAUCAGUCUAUUUCAUAUGCAUAAUGGUUUUUGUACUUUCUAGUUCCUGUAUGCUGUUCUCUACCAAAAAUCAUUGGCCUCAUACUCCCUUGCUUUCGUUUUGGCUCUUGGCUUCUAAUCCUAGGAUAAAAUGCUGGUGGACGCUCUUUACCAUAGUUGUCUGCCAUAGUUUGUGUAAUCAUUACUUUUUUCCCCUUCUUUUCUUAUUUGGUUUCUUUUUCUUUUUUCUUCUUUCUUUUUAAAUGUAGAGAAGGAACAUUGCAUGGACAUGAGCACAUAACAGCAUCGAUCCAAAAAAGAUGAACAGAGGAACCCAUGACUGCUACCCUGUUCUUUAGCAUCCAGAUGCCUAGGAUGGCAAAGAGCAUUCCUGCUACUACACUGUUUAAACUUUAAAUAUCCUUUUAUAAUUUGUAUUACUGUGCAACUUUGCUUGUAUUGUUGUUGUUUCCAAGUCGAUUCACUUACAUUAAGAUUAUCUUUGUGGGAACUUGAAAUCAAGGAGAAAUAUUUGAAGAAUCAAGUCCUUGAGCUUCUAGCAGAUUCAAGAAAAAAUCUAUUGUCUGUGGGUUAUAAGCCUACAAAGAGCAUGGCAUAUAAGCACUUGCUCAUAUUUGUGGUUGGUUGUCUAACAGCUGAGGUUUAAGUUUUCUAGGGUUCAAGGUUCAGGGGGAGGCAAGCUCUUGCACAAGUUCAGCAGAGAUCUUGAAGCAGAGCUUAAGGAUUCUAAAAUGGAGGGGAGUGGACAUGAAAUAGAAGGGAACAGAAUGAGGGAGAAAGAAGAAGCGAGGCCUUCUCUGUGACCUAUGGCACCAAGGGCCUGCUACAGAUGCAUCCGGGGAACUCUUCCCUCAACUAGCUGGCUAUUUCAUGGCUUGUUCCCGGCUCUUAACUUUUGUUCUCCACACCGAAAAAUAAUAAAGCAUCUGGGCCACGUUUCUGCUCACGGAAAGCAAUUUCAACUCCAGAUUCACCAAGCUCAAAGGGAUCUGUAAAUGAAUUGGUUGGUUGAACUCACCUGCAUGCAAGGCAAGUUCGAUUGGGUCUAAUGCCGGUUUCAAUAUCAUUCUAAAUAACUCGGAUUCAGGUUGAUUAUUUUUAUCUUCUCCAAUGAGGAUUCAGCUUGGCUCAGACUGACCACUUGCCACCCCUGUUGUACAUACACUGCCAAAGCUUGCAUCGAUCCAUUUCAAUCAUACACCAAGUGAUACAUGCAGCUUUAAUUUGUAAACCUAUUUAAACAUGUUUUGACCUUGCAGGUGAUUGGUUCAUGCAUGUGUGAAUAAUUUAUGUCCU